rnacentral:tRNA from 1 species
GCGCACGUGGCGAAACUGGUAGACGCGCAGCCUUGAGGGGGCUGUAAACGCAAGUUUGUGGAAGUUCGAAUCUUCUCGUGCGCACUA